UUCCAGUUGACAAGUCCCAAAUAGAACGAGACGCUCGUCUUGGAU
rfam:Schistosoma mattheei strain Denwood, Zambia genome assembly, scaffold: SMTD_scaffold0005050